AUUGAACGCUGGCGGAAUGCCUAACACAUGCAAGUCGAACGAGUUGUGUAGCAAUACAUGACUAGUGGCGGACGGGUGAGGAACACAUAGGAAUCUACCCUUGUAGUGGGGAAUAACCCGGGGAACCGGACGUAAUGCCGCAUACGCACUAAGGUGGAAAGCGGGGAGUCGUAGACUCGCGCUAUAGGAUGAGCCUAUGUCGGAUUAGCUAGUUGGUAGGGUAACGGCCGUACCAAGGCGACGAUCCGUAGCUGGUCUGAGAGGACGAUCAG
rnacentral:rRNA from 1 species